CCUACGGGAGGCAGCAGUAGGGAAUCUUCCACAAUGGGCGAAAGCCUGAUGGAGCAACGCCGCGUGGGUGAAGAAGGUCUUCGGAUCGUAAAACUCUGUUGUUAGAGAAGAAAGUGCGUGAGAGUAACUGUUCACGUUUCGACGGUAUCUAACCAGAAAGCCCCGGCUAACUACGUGCCAGCAGCCGCGGUAAUACGUAGGUGGCAAGCGUUAUCCGGAUUUAUUGGGCGUAAAGGGUACGCAGGCGGUCUUUUAAGUCUGAUGUGAAAGCCUUCGGCUUAACCGGAGUAGUGCAUUGGAAACUGGGAGACUUGAGUGCAGAAGAGGAGAGUGGAACUCGAUGUGUAGCGGUGAAAUGCGUAGAUAUAUGGAAGAACACCAGUGGCGAAAGCGGCUCUCUGGUCUGUAACUGACGCUGAGGUUCGAAAGCGUGGGUAGCAAACAGGAUUAGAUACCCCUGUAGUC
rnacentral:rRNA from 1 species